AUCUUCCUCACAAGAGAGAAAACAACCCCAAAGAAAAAACCUCUCUUCUUCUCCAAAGCUAACGUCCAGCCUUCCCCGUCAACCAGGCAGCUACGCAAAAUAGUCCACCAGCGAACCAAACAGCCCCUACGACCACCACCAGCUUCGUCGCCCAAUUCGUCGUCACACAGCCUCCAGCCUCACGUCCAAACGACCCCUCCAAUCGCCGGAAAAACCAGUACGACGCCUCCCUCACGUUCAAACAAUCAUAGCUGCUUCGUCAUUCAUCGAACACCAAACGCAACUGCUUCCUUCUUCAGCCCAUCGCACAUCCUCGCAAACACCAUUUCCGUCCAGUUUCAUCGUCAAACGACCACCCCUGGAAACUCAGCUGUUGUCUCGUCGUUCUUCAGGUUCAAUCCGUCGAGGUCGUCGUUUGUCGUUCUGAGUUCGUCGAGGUUAAAAGAUCCAAGUGCUUCCGAUCAGGGCGGCUGCUGAUUGAGGAGUCAGGAUCUGGGAGACUAUCGAGAUGGUGAGGAUACGUACUACUCGGUAAGAUGGAUAGCCACCAUUACCUUCAGCUAGGGCCGCAAGAGGCCGAGGUCGCGGUAGAGGCUGUGGUAGGGGUAGAGGUGCAGCUCGUACAACGGUUAGGGCAGCACCUGCAGACCCACCAGUUGCCCUAAUCUCGGAGCAGGUUCCAGUUGCGGAUAAGCCAGUAGGGCCAGCUCAAGUACCAGCUGUGCCUAUUGUGAUUCUAGGCCUUUAGGAGGCCAUAGCUCAGAUUUUGACCGUGUGCACUAGUCUUGCUCAGGAGGCCUCUGUUCCAACCGUAGUAGCCACUUCUCAGGCUGGGGGAGGUACUCAGAUUCCCGCCGCUCGUACGCUAGAGCAGGUGAUGAAAGGACUCCAAACACCGGGGGCACCACCAGCCCAUCCGAUUGCAGCUGCUCAGGACCAUGAGGUUCCUGCUAUGACUGAGGAUGAGCAGAAGAGACUAGAGAGGUUCGGGAGACUCCAACCUCCAUUUUUCAGUGGGGCAGAGUUGGAGGUUGCUCAGGACUUUUUGGACAAGUGUCAGCGGACUCUUCAUAUGGUCGGUAUUCUAAAAACCGAUUCGGGAUAUUUGGAGGCCUAUUUGAAAGGCAAAGGCGUGCUGGAGUAGAGUUAUUCUCGGAUUGAGAUCCAAGUGCUUCCGGUCAUGGCGGCUGCUGAUUGAGGAGUCAGGAUCUGGGAGACUAUCGAGGUAGCUGCAUGGUGUUCGUAAGCCUUGACUCUCCUUCAUUAUCUUUAUUUGUAUUUCAGUUCUUAUUUCUUAGACUUUGUAGUAUCUAUAUUCCGAUAUAGAUGCUCAUGUACUCGGUGAUACCCCGAUUUUAGGAUAGGUUGUAAUCAUCUCAUUUAAAAGCUUAAGCUAUUAAAGAGAGCAGACUUUUAUUUACUUAAUUAUGUCUUCAAUAGCUACAUUGACGCCUUUGUACCCGCAGCUGAUGUUUAUUUUAAUUUCUUGAGUUUUAGUAUGGUUUUGGAUA